rnacentral:tRNA from 1 species
GGUAGGUUGGCCGAGCGUUUAGGUGGCGGAUUGUAGCUCCGCUAACAGAGGUUCAAGUCCUCUUCCUACCA